rnacentral:rRNA from 1 species
AUUGAACGCUGGCGGAAUGCUUUACACAUGCAAGUCGAACGGCAGCACGGACUUCGGUCUGGUGGCGAGUGGCGAACGGGUGAGUAAUAUAUCGGAACGUGCCCAGUCGUGGGGGAUAACGUAGUGAGAAUUACGCUAAUACCGCAUACGAUCUAUGGAUGAAAGCGGGGGAUCGCAAGACCUCGUGCGAUUGGAGUGGCCGAUAUCAGAUUAGGUAGUUGGUGAGGUAAAGGCUCACCAAGCCAACGAUCUGUAGCUGGUCUGAGAGGACGACCAGCCACACUGGAACUGAGACACGGUCCAGACUCCUACGGGAGGCAGCAGUGGGGAAUUUUGGACAAUGGACGCAAGUCUGAUCCAGCCAUUCCGCGUGCAGGACGAAGGCCUUCGGGUUGUAAACUGCUUUUGUACAGAACGAAAAGGUCUCUAUUAAUACUGGGGGCUCAUGACGGUACUGUAAGAAUAAGCACCGGCUAACUACGU